rnacentral:rRNA from 1 species
GUGGGCCCUCGAAAUCCUGUGGCGGGAGGAUUCAGUCUGGAAGCGCGGGCGGCGCUGGUCGGAAGGCGAGUGAAGGGAUUCCCCCGACGGGGGCCGUCCGACCGCGUUCAGCGCGUGCCGAUCAGACGCAUUUGUCUCCCGUCCGGAGGACGCCGCAGCCGGUUGGGUAAUGCAAACUCGACGGCCUGAGAGGCGGAAGAUGGCAGGUGGCCGGUUGUUCGCCAUUCGAGGCGGACACGCCGGUUGUUAGCCGUUCCGCCGGUGUCCGUCACCCGACCGAGGUAUCGACACGCCUCCUCCCUUAAGCGGGAUGCGGGACAGAAGGGCGCGAGCGAGACACGCUGCCCUGUCGCACCGCACCUGCGGUGGACGGGCGUGCGGGAGCUCUCGUGGACUGCGUCCGCGGACCUGUGGGAGGCAGGAGGCUUGCGGCGAGUAGGUCGGUCACCCACCCGACCCGUCUUGAAACACGGACCAAGGAGUCUAACAUGUGCGCGAGUCAGUGGGACUUGUGUAGGCCCAGAGGCGCAAUGAAAGCGAAGGCGCGGCACGAGCCCGCCGAGUUGGGAUCCCCGUCGACGCGGGGCGCACCAACGACCCGUCCUACCCGGCACGUCCGGUUGGGCGGAGUGUGAGCGCACACGUUGGGACCCGAAAGAUGGUGAACUAUGCCCGGACAGGACGAAGCCAGAGGAAACUCUGGUGGAGGUCCGAAGCGGUUCUGACGUGCAAAUCGAUCGUCAGAUCCAGGUAUAGGGGCGAAAGACUAAUCGAACCAUC